AAGUCGGAUAACGAGCGCAACCCUUACCCUUAUUUGCCAGCGAUUAGGUCGGGAACUAUAAGGGGACUGCCGGUGAUAAACCGGAGGAAGGUGAGGACGACGUCAAGUCAUCAUGGCCCUUACGUAUAGGGCUACAUACGUGCUACAAUGGGGAAUACAGACGGACGCUAAGCCGCGAGGUGGUGCUAAUCCUAGAAAAUUCUUCGUAGUCCGGAUUGGAGUCUGCAACUCGACUCCAUGAAGUCGGAAUCGCUAGUAAUCGCGAAUCAGCAUGUCGCGGUGAAUACGUUCUCGAGUCUU
rnacentral:rRNA from 1 species